UAGGGAAUCUUCGGCAAUGGACGGAAGUCUGACCGAGCAACGCGCGUGAGUGAAGAAGGUUUUCGGAUCGUAAAGCUCUGUUGUAAGAGAAGAACGGGUGUGAGAGUGGAAAGUUCACACUGUGACGGUAUCUUACCAGAGAGGGACGGCUAACUACGUGCCAGCAGCCGCGGUAAUACGUAGGUCCCGAGCGUUGUCCGGAUUUAUUGGGCGUAAAGCGAGCGCAGGCGGUUAGAUAAGUCUGAAGUUAAAGGCUGUGGCUUAACCAUAGUACGCUUUGGAAACUGUUUAACUUGAGUGCAAGAGGGGAGAGUGGAAUUCCAUGUGUAGCGGUGAAAUGCGUAGAUAUAUGGAGGAACACCGGUGGCGAAAGCGGCUCUCUGGCUUGUAACUGACGCUGAGGCUCGAAAGCGUGGGGAGCAAACAGGAUUAGAUACCCUGGUAGUCCACGCCGUAAACGAUGAGUGCUAGGUGUUAGACCCUUUCCGGGGUUUAGUGCCGCAGCUAACGCAUUAAGCACUCCGCCUGGGGAGUACGACCGCNNUUG
rnacentral:rRNA from 1 species